rnacentral:rRNA from 1 species
UGGGGAAUUUUGGACAAUGGGCGAAAGCCUGAUCCAGCAAUGCCGCGUGUGUGAAGAAGGCCUUCGGGUUGUAAAGCACUUUUGUCCGGAAAGAAAUGGCUCUGGUUAAUACCUGGGGUCGAUGACGGUACCGGAAGAAUAAGGACCGGCUAACUACGUGCCAGCAGCCGCGGUAAUACGUAGGGUCCAAGCGUUAAUCGGAAUUACUGGGCGUAAAGCGUGCGCAGGCGGUUGUGCAAGACCGAUGUGAAAUCCCCGAGCUUAACUUGGGAAUUGCAUUGGUGACUGCACGGCUAGAGUGUGUCANAGGGGGGUAGAAUUCCACGUGUAGCAGUGAAAUGCGUAGAGAUGUGGAGGAAUACCGAUGGCGAAGGCAGCCCCCUGGGAUAACACUGACGCUCAUGCACGAAAGCGUGGGGAGCAAACAGGAUUAGAUACCCUGGUAGUCCACGCCCUAAAACGAUGUCAACUAGUUGUUGGGGGAUUC